AGGAUCUUGAGUCUCUAAUAAUCUCUUUCAAGAGCUGAGAAGAUUAGCAUGGCCCCUGCGCAAGGAUGACAUGCACAAAUCGAGAAAUGGUCCAAAUUUUU